AGUGGGUAGUCCGCACGAGCGCACCUCACUUUUAGUUGCCAUCAUUAAGUUGGGCACUCUGAAAGAACUGCCAGUGAUAAGCUGGAGGAAGGUGGGGAUGACGUCAAGUCCUCAUGGCCCUUACGUGUGGGGCUACACACGUGCUACAAUGGUAUCUACAACAGGAAGCAAGACUGCGAAGUUAAGCAAAUCCCUAAAAGAUACCUCAGUUCGGAUUGCACUCUGCAACUCGAGUGCAUGAAGCUGGAAUUACUAGUAAUCGUGGAUCAGCGUGCCACGGUGAAUGCGUUCCCGGGUCUUGUACACACCGCCCGUCACACCAUGGGAGUUGGUUCUACCUUAAGGCAAGGUUUCAAACCCUUGACCACGGUAUAGUCAGCGACUGGGGUGAAGUCGUAACAAGGUAGCCGUAGGGGAACCUGCGGCUGGAUUACCUCCUUUCU
rnacentral:rRNA from 1 species